rnacentral:lncRNA from 1 species
UUAGUCAUAUAAGGUUUUUCUCUUUUCCCUGGUAGUGAAGAAGAGAAGAGUUCGUGCUAUGGCGUACCCAUGGACACUGCCUCCCCUGCUAUCCCUCCUGUUCCUGGGCUCGCCUGACCACUUCUUCCUGUAGUUCAUCCAAUUCACUUCUAGAGGUGACCUCCCCAUCUGAGAUAGAAGCAAAGAAGAUCAAUUACCACACCUCCAGAAUCAAGGCGAAUUAUCUGUUAACCUUAUGGUCACGAUGCCAUUUUCCCUUGGAGCUCUCGCUUUCCAGUUUGUUUCAGAUCCCUUUUCAUUAGAAACAGAGAGAGCAGCACAGGCCACGAAUAGUGACGGUGUUUACAGCAUGUAUAUUUUCAAUAUCUCAUGAAUACUAACAGUGUAACUCUUAAUAUGUUUUAAGCAUUUUCAAUAUACUAAGAACAAUUUU